GCGCCAGUAGCUCAGUUGGAUAGAGUGCCGGACUACGAAUCCGUAGGUCGGGGGUUCGAAUCCCUCCUGGCGUACCA
rnacentral:tRNA from 1 species